UACGAAGGGGGCUAGCGUUGCUCGGAAUUACUGGGCGUAAAGGGCUCGUAGGCGGCCAACUAAGUCGGACGUGAAAUCCCUCGGCUUAACCGGGGAACUGCGUCCGAUACUGGAUGGCUUGAGUUCGGGAGAGGGAUGCGGAAUUCCAGGUGUAGCGGUGAAAUGCGUAGAUAUCUGGAGGAACACCGGUGGCGAAGGCGGCAUCCUGGACCGACACUGACGCUGAGGAGCGAAAGCCAGGGGAGCAAGCGGG
rnacentral:rRNA from 1 species